GCCUGGUUAGCUCAAUCGGUAGAGCGUGAGACUCUUACCGACUAAAUACCGGUAUCUCAAGGCUGCGGGUUCGACCCCCGCAUCGGGCU